rnacentral:lncRNA from 10 species
AGGCGCCCGUAUCCAGCCACGGCCGGGAGCCCAGGAGUAUCCCGAGGCUGCACGGGGUAGGGGUGGGGGGCGGAGGGCGAGUCUUGGUCUUGAGCUGCUGGGGCGCGGAUUCUCUUUCAAAGCCAGAACCAGGCCUGUCCCGGACCCGCGUCCCGGGGAGGCUGCAGCGCAGAGCAGCGGGGCUGGGGCCGGUGGGGGGCCGUUUGGGACGCGCGGAGAGGUCCUGAGCGCGGUGGCUCUGCGUCUCCUAGCUCUGAUCUCCAGGCUACCCCUGUGAUUCCGCGCAGAGGUACCUCUCGGAGGACGCCGGGGUCCCAUGGGCGGCGCCGCGCAGGGCGCUAGGACCCCGCGGGGAGCGGAGGCGGCCUCGGCCCGGGAGCCUGGAGGACCUGGCCGGUCGAUCCGCCCGGGCUGGAAAACUUUCUUUAUAAUUACUUCUCCAGGUCGGAGCGCGCGGCUUGCUAGGCGCGCGGGGCCGGCGCUGUUACCCGGCGUGGAGUCGCCGAUUUUUUUUCCUGCGGGACCGCGGGGCCCCCCAGACUAGCGGAGCUGGACGCCGGGGCGAGCACGGGGAGGGGCGCACCGAGGGAGGAGACAAACUUAACUCUGGGGCCGGGAUUCCGAGGCGGGGGCCGCAGCCCUCGAGGCCCGAAGCCACCGCUUCCUCCCCCGCCUCCCCAUUCAGGUGGGCGCCAACGGCGGGAGCGAGGGUGUCCAGGCCGCCGGGCUGCCAGGUCCGAGCACGCACAGGGAGAACUCUGCCCAGUGGUUCGCCGGGCGCUGUAGUCCCCGGGAUCCUAGGGACCGAGGCGGCCAGGCCCUGGGGCCCCUUGAGUGCGGCAGCUAAUGCUCUCACCGCGGCGGGGGAAGGAGCUUGCCACCGAGACCCCCAGCCACGUGCGUCCCUCGCAUUCUUUACCGGGGCCGGGGUGGCGGCUACGGACCGUCAGCUGGGCCCAGAUGGAGUCUUGGGAGCCCUCAAGUGUCUCCUGUCCUUGCCCGCGCCGCCCCUCGCCACUGGCGCUGAGGCCUGACGCCGCCUGCGUCCCGGCUAGAGGCGCGCUUGCCUACAGGUGAGGGAAGACCCCCUUCACCGACAGUGGCCUUAGGCCUGGCAAGGCGCCACGACCCGCCCAGGAGCCCCGGAGGGGGCACAGCUAAAAACACCGCUGGAGAGCCCCGAGCUUCCACGACGAUCGCAGUAAAGAAGCAGUUUCAUCUGGGCAACGCACACUGCGCUUUAAUCAAGUUCCUAUUCAACAUAGUCCCAGUGAUUAAUAGCCCAACUGCUUCGUUUUCGGUCCAGAGCUCAUAAACAAGAUAUUUUUAGCUUGACGCUUUUGGACGGGAGGGAGUAAAAACCAGAUACGUUAAAUAAAUAUCCCGAUGUGAGCCGGAGAGCUGCUUGCUGAGCCAAAUGCAGGACCCAUUCAUAUAGCAUUCACCUGUGGAGGGAGACCUGGACGGAAAUCAAAAAGCACCAAGAGCGAUUUGCGUUUUUUUCUGCGGUGCUAAAACUAAUGGCUUUUCCUACCUAGGAACAAAGAAACGCCACUGUACAUGCACGGUUCCCGGCCUGUGGAGUUGUGGGAGGAAGGCGAUGUCUGGCCUUUUUUGCACAGCUGCUGUUGCCUGCCCAGAGAUCGGGAACUCUGCCCCGUAGGACUGGAAGAAACCUCAGUAAUGGGAAUAAGACUUUGUCCAAUAGGGGGCUGAUGAAUGUGUGGGGGCGACAAUGGCAAGGAGUGGGACUCCCGGCCCGGGGUUCGCCAACCCCAGGGGCCACAGGUCCUCCUACAAUUGAACCAGAAUUCACCCACCCGGGCCUGCCCUGUGCAGGGUGCCGAGAGCCCAGGGAUGCAUGAGAGGGUGGCUCCUGCCUCUGGGAACUGGGACAGUGGGAGAGACGGAUAAGUUGUCACACAGAGGCUGCUGGGAGGAAGGAGGAGACAGAAGGAGUAGGGGAUGGGACUUCAUUCAUUCAUCAAAUGCACACGAGGCACAAAUGGGAAUCAAGGGUGGAUGUGCUGUGAUGAAGAGAAGUCCUGCCCUGAACAAGGUGGCGCUGUGGAGGAGGCAGAGAUCAGAUUUGUCUGCGGAGGUGUUAUGGACUGAACUGUGUCCCUGCCCCAAAUUCCUAUGUUGAAGGCCUAACCCCCAUGUGACUGUAUUUGGAGAUAAGGCUUUUAGGAAGUCAUUAAAGUGAGAUGAUGUCAUAUGGGUAGGGUCCUAAUUUGAUAGGAUUGGUGGCCUUAUCAGAAGAACAAUGUCAUGGGCAUGCACAGAAAGGAGGUGGCCGUCUGCAAGCAGGGAAGAGGCCCCUCACCAGAACCUGAGGGUGCUGGCAGCUUGGCUUUGGCCUUGGGCAUCCAGCCUCCAGAACCAUGAGAAAUAAAUGUUUAUGGUAGGUCUAUGAUGGCAGCCUGCUUGGACUGAACCGGCGGUGAGACAGGGCUUCAUGCAGGAGCAGACCUUUGAGCUGGGCCUUGAAAGUUGAGCAGGAAUUUGCUGGAAGGAUAAGGGAGGAAGGCUCUUCUAGGAGGAGGGAAUGGUAAGUGCAAAGGUGGAGAGCCUGCCAGUGCAUGUGUUCUGGUAACAAAGAACGAGAUGGUUGGCCGGCUGGAGAGUGGGGUGAGGGAGGGUGGGGCCUAGAUAAGGCUGGAUCCGCAGACAGGGCUGGGCUGAUGGCCAAGGCCACUGCAGGUGAAGGGGGAACCCUUAUCUCCCAGGCUUUUGACCUCCAGAUUUUAGCAGGGGAGCUUCGUUGUCGGAUUUGGGUUCCUGAGAAUCUACUCUGGCCAAGACGGAGAGGGGGUGUUGACCAGAUGGGAAAGGAUGGAGACUUGUAUUGCCCCAGUAAUGAGCGGGCAGGGUAGAUUAGAACAAGAUGUCAGGACUUGGGGGCUGAAUGCCAGGCUUCUGGCUGGGAUUACCACCCCCUGACACAUAUAAUGCCCAGGAAAUUGGAGGCCCCUCUCCAAGCCCCCAGGAGGCCACUGGGGACUCAUUCCAGGAUACUCACCUGCCUGCUUUGUGGUUUUGGAGGGGAAGACCUUGGAGCAGUUGCGAAGAUCCAUCUACCAUGUUCUGGUUUUUCCUUGGAAGCCUAAAAGUGUACCUCGGGAUGAGGAGGAAAUGGUUUUGAGGGCAAGUGGUAGGUCUCUGGCUAGGCCUGGCGGGGUUCUCAGAGGACAGGGGGUGUCUAGGGCCCUAGAUAGAAGUGUCCUGCCCAAGCCCUAAAGCAGGAAAUUAGCUGGGGAGUUGGGGUGAGACCCUGGGGUCGAUGGAGGCACUUUCCAUGGGAGAGUCCCACAGGGUAAGGGAGAGGGGGCUGAUGUCUGACAGUCUCAUAGACAGUUGGCUUGUGGCUGGAGAAGUGGGAGCAAAGGAGAAAUCACCUUUGAUUGGGAGAAGUGGCUCUGGCUCAUGUGCAACUGAGACAAAGCCAGUCCUAAGAGCAGCUUGUAAAUUCUUCUGUGACCACCUUUAAGGUCCUUCUUCCUGAGGCUGUGGAUGGGGGUGUACACAGGCCCAGUGUGGGGGGUUGAGCGUGAGUCCCCGGGAAACGGUGGUCCUGAGUUUUGGAUGCUCCAGGAUGAAGCCUGAUUCUGGAGUCAAUCACAGCACUAACCAUUUUGAGAAGACAAACAGAGCCCUAGAAAUGUUUUAUUUUACUUUGGUUUAACCUUCCUAAUGCAAGGCCCACGAGAGAAUUAGUACGUAAGUUUGGAAAUCAAUCAAAUUCUGAAGAGCAAAAACGGAACUAACCCUUCUGAUGUAGUUUUCUGACUUUAUCUGAAGCUGAAAUGUGUGUGUAAGAUUGGUCGCUCCAAACAGGACCAAUUCAGAUAAGAUAAAAGUCCAGAACUAUGAUUUCAGGCUCAGCUGAGCUCUGGCUAGGGGUACAAGUAUCUAAUAUGGUAUAGCUAAUAAUGUCUCAAUCAUUCAAUAAGAUACUCUCAAAGGCCUUCCUCCAACUAGACAAACAAAACAAAAUAAAAACACUAGUUACUUUUUGUUACAAAUGGAUUCAUAAACGGUUUUAUACUGAUUCAUUUUAGGCUUUAGAUCUUGACAUGUAAAGCAUAUGAACUCAACGCAUAAUCAACCCAAAGUCCAGUGUUUCUUUUUCUUUCUUCUUUUUUUUUUCGAGACAGGGUCUCACUCUGUUGCCCAGGCUGGAGAGCAGUGGUUGGAUCUCAGCUCAAUGCAACCUCCGCCUCCCAGGCUCAAGUGAUCCUCCCACAUCGGCCUCCUGGGUAGCUGGGACUACAGGCAUGCACCACCAUGCCUGGCUAAUUUUUUGUAUAGAUGGGGUUUCACCACGCAGCCCAGGCUGGUCUCGAACUCCUGAGCUCAAGUGAUCCUCCCACCUCGGCUUUCCAAAGUGCUGGGAUUUACAGGUGUAAGCCACUGUGUCCGGCCUAGUGUUUUUUAUCCACAGGCGCCCAGCUCUACCCAUGAGAUUACUUAUCCUGUCUCCCCAGGAGGCAGGUGGUGUAGGGAGCUGCUGGGAGGAUUAGGGAGAAUGUUGUGCCAAGGCCAGUUCCUGGCAUGCAGGACACACUUGCUCAGUAAAUAAGAGCUUGGCAUACGCUUCCCUACUCUCCUUGUCUCUCCAUAAGUGCACUUUUGAGGUUCUAGUUUCCCCCAAAACUUUGAAUAUUAAGCAACUCAUUUCUUUUUUUCUUUUUCUUUUCUUUUCCCUUCCUUCCUUCCUUCCUUCCCUCCCUCCCUUCUUUCUUUUCUUUCUCUCUCUCUCUCUCUUUCUUUCUUUCUUUUCUUUCUUUCUUUCCUUCCUUCCUUCCUUCCUUCUUUUUUUUCUUUCUGACAUGGGGUCUUGCUGUGUCACCCAGGCUACAGUACAGUCAUGCAAUCUCAGAUCACUGCAACCUCUGUCUCCCAGGUUCAAGCGAUUCUCCAACCUCAGCCUCUGGAGUAGCUGGGACUACAGGCAUGCACCACCAUGCUCGGCUAACUUUUGUAUUUUUCGUAGAGACAGGGUUUCACCAUGUUGGCCAGGCUGGUCUCAAACUCCUGACCUCAGGUGAUCUGCCUGCCUCGGCCUCCCAAAAUGCUGGGAUUACAGGUGUGAGCCACCACACCAGGCCUAAGCAACUCAUUUCAACACAUAGUUAUGGAAUAUUCUGGCAGUGUAUUAGGCUGAGGUUCUCUGUGUGUUCUGCGGAAAAGUACCUAGAAGGCAUGGUACUCUAUGCAGAACGUUCCAAGGCAUAACAAAUUCUGUCUUCAUAAGGUAGAGAUCAUUUAACCAUUAGGAAGUGUAACUAUAUUGUAUGUAUACCACAUAAAAUCACAACCAUAAGUACUCAAGUCUAUAACGAGUCCAUACUGUCAAAUUCACAAAAAUCAGCUGUUUCCAGUUUUCUCUCUCUCUCUCUCUGUCCUGUCUUUUUUUAUUUUUUUUUGAGAUGGACUCUUCCUCUGUCACCCAGGCUGGAGUGCAGUGGCAUGAUCUCGGCUCACUGCAACCUCUGCCUCCCCGGUUCAAGCAAUUCUCCUGCCUCAGCCUUUCAAGUAGCUGAGAUUACAGGUGAGUGCCACCAUGCCUGGCUAAUUUUUGUAUUUUUAGUAGAGACGGGGUUUCACCAUGUUGGCCAGGCUGGUCUUGAACUCCUGACCUCAGGUGAUUCACCAGCCUCAGCCUCCCAAAGUGCUGGGAUUACAGGCGUGAGCCACCGUGCCCAACCUCCAGUUUUUUCUUAAUAUUCAUCUACUAUACCAUGUGUGUGAUUUCUUUUGUCAUUUUUCAUGUUUAUAAUAUAGUUAGGCUUUGUGUCCCUGCCCAAAUGUCAUCUUGAAUUAUAAUCCCUGUAUUCCCCACAAUCCCCAUGUGUCAAGGGAGAGACCAGGUAGAGGUAAUUGAUUCAUGGGGGCAGUUUCCCCCCAACGUUGUUCUCAUGAUAGUGAGUUCUCAUGAGAUCUCAUGGUUUCAUAAGGGGCUCUUCCCUCUUCUCUCGGCACUUCUCCUUCCUGCCGCCUUGUGAAGAAGGUGCCUUUCUUCCCCUUCAUCUUCUGCCAUGAUUGUAAGUUUCCUGAGGCCUCCCCAGCCAUGCUGAACUGUGAGUCAAUUAAACCUCUUUUCUUAAAUUACCCAGUCUCAGGCAGUUCUUUACAGCAGUAUGAGAAAGGACUAAUACAGUUUGUUGAUUUUAUUUGCUUGCAACUGCUAGCAGGUAAGCAGUAGCUGGCACCAAACAUUCUAGAAAAAGAAAAUUGAGUCAAAAUUUAAAAAUCAGGGCUGGGCACACUAGUUCAUGCCUGUAAUGGCAGCACUUUGGGAGGCCAAAGUGGGAGGAUGUCUGGAGGCCAGGAAUUUGAGACCAGCCCGAGCAACAUAGUGAGACCCCGUCUAUAA